rnacentral:rRNA from 1 species
AUUGAACGCUGGCGGCAGGCCUAACACAUGCAAGUCGAGCGAGCGGCGGACGGGUGAGUAAUGUCUGGGAAACUGCCUGAUGGCGGGGGAUACCUCCUGGAAACGGUAGCUAAUACCGCAUACCCUCAGAUGUGCCCCGAUGGGAUUAGCUAGUAGGUGGGGUAAUGACUCACCUAGGCGACGAUCCCUAGCUGGUCUGAGAGGAUGACCAGCCACACUGGAACUGAGACAGGGUCCAGACGCCUACGGGAGGCAGCAGGGGGGAAUAUGGGACAAGGGGGGCAAGCGUGAGGCAGCCAUGCCGCGUGUGGGAAGAAGGCGUUCGGGUUGUAAAGCACUUGCAGCGGGGAGGCGUGACCCGCAGAAGAAGCACCGGCGAACUCCGUGCCAGCAGCCGCGGUAAUAC